UCCCUGGUGGUCUAGUGGUUAAGACUUUGCACUUCCAUUGCAGGGGGCGCUGGUUUGAUCUCUAGUCAGGGAA
rnacentral:tRNA from 1 species